rnacentral:sRNA from 1 species
GCCGGGUGUGGUGGUGCAGACCUGUGAUCCCAGCUACUUGGGAGGCUGAGGCAGGAGGAUGGCAAGUUUGAGGUCAGCCUCAGCAACUUACAAGAGCCCAUCUCAA